rnacentral:rRNA from 1 species
CAGACGGGAGGCAGCAGGGGGGGAGAGGGCACAAUGGGGGGAACCCUGAUGCAGCGACGCCGCGUGGGUGAAGAAGCGCCUCGGCGCGUAAAGCCCUGUCAGCAGGGAAGAAAAUGACGGUACCUGAAGAAGAAGCCCCGGCUAACUACGUGCCAGCAGCCGCGGUAAUACGUAGGGGGCAAGCGUUAUCCGGAUUUACUGGGUGUAAAGGGGGCGCAGACGGCGAUGCAAGCCAGGAGUGAAAGCCCGGGGCCCAACCCCGGGACUGCUCUUGGAACUGCGUGGCUGGAGUGCAGGAGGGGCAGGCGGAAUUCCUGGUGUAGCGGUGAAAUGCGUAGAUAUCAGGAGGAACACCGGUGGCGAAGGCGGCCUGCUGGACUGCAACUGACGUUGAGGCCCGAAAGCGUGGGGAGCAAACAGGAUUAGAUACCCGAGUAGUC